ACGUAUCUAGUGUAACGGUAACACGCAGCACUUGAAUCAUCAUCGCCGAGUCUGGGGUUCGAAUCCCCAAGUCCGCC